rnacentral:rRNA from 1 species
CACGUAGGGCGCAAGCGUUGUCCGGAAUUAUUGGGCGUAAAGAGCUCGUAGGUGGUUUGUUACGUCUGCUGUGAAAACCCGGGGCUUAACCCCUGGCUUGCAGUGGAUACGGACAGACUAGAGGUAGGUAGGGGAGAAUGGAAUUCCCGGUGUAGCGGUGAAAUGCGCAGAUAUCGGGAGGAACACCGGUGGCGAAGGCGGUUCUCUGGGCCUU